GGCAGCAGUGGGGAAUCUUCCGCAAUGGACGAAAGUCUGACGGAGCAACGCCGCGUGAGUGAAGAAGGUUUUCGGAUCGUAAAGCUCUGUUUUUAGGGACGAAUGGUCUUUAUGCAAAUAAUGUAGAGACAUGACGGUACCUAAAGAGGAAGCCACGGCUAACUACGUGCCAGCAGCCGCGGUAAUACGUAGGUGGCAAGCGUUGUCCGGAAUUAUUGGGCGUAAAGGGCGUGUAGGCGGGAUAGCAAGUCUGUUGUAAAAGUGCGGAGCUCAACUCCGUAAGGUCAAUGGAAACUGUUACUCUUGAGUGCAGGAGAGGAAAGUGGUAUUCCCAGUGUAGCGGUGAAAUGCGUAGAUAUUGGGAGGAACACCAGUGGCGAAGGCGACUUUCUGGACUGUGUCUGACGCUGAGGCGCGAAAGCCAGGGUAGCGAACGGGAUUAGAUACCCCGGUAGUCCUGGCCGUAAACGAUGAGUACUAGGUGU
rnacentral:rRNA from 1 species